CAGGACCGAAGCGUUCUUCAAACGGCAGCCGAAAGCCACGGCCCCGAUAGCCACCCCCCGCAUCACUUUCCUGCCGCCGCGGGAGGAAAGUUUCGGUGGGUCCUGUCCUGGGGGUUACCCCCAGGGGCUGCCCGCGACCCCCUCACCCCUUCCCCCUCCCCCGAGAAGGGGUCACCUCCUCCCUCCCGCCCCACCGCCGCGCCCCGCGGAUGAUGCUCGGCACGGAGGGGUUCCCCCCCUCCCUCCUCUCCCUCCCACCUCUCCUUUCCCCUCCCCUCCCCUCAGCCCUCGGUACUCAGCCCUUGACUUUGCCGAAGGUGCCGACCCCCAGCGUAUCCCCCAGCACGUAGUGGCCGAUCUUCACCCUCCCGUCGUGCUUCUGCUGCUUCUCGGCCAUCUUCGCCCCCCGGCGGAGGACCACAAUGCGCAGGGCCGGCACGAUGGAUGCUGAGCACUUUCAAGCUGGCCAUUUAGAGAGUUUGUAACCAGAAAUCAAUCCAGGCAGAAAAAAUGUACAUCUACCUGUUUACAUCAUAAACCACAAACGCGUUUGCAUCCUGCAACAAACACCUGGGCAACAUCCAGAGGAGACAUUCCCAACGUGUUAACUACUGCCAGCGCUGGGAUCCUGUAACCACAGCACAUGGAGAUGAUGGGAACUCAGUUAAAUUAAGGAGAACCACCAAGAUUGUGAAACGUGGCAGCAGGACAAGAGCUGGUUGCAACACAGGCUAGACUUUAGGUCUGUUGGCCAAUCGAACACAUCUGAUGCUGGUGAUUGGGAUGCCAGAGACAGUUCCCUGACUGCUGAUCUACCCUGUGGGUCACUGAGGCACGUUCUUGAGGGCUGAUCCUCCUGGCCUGCACAAAUCUGCAUGUCCAAUUUCCCGAAUGGCAGAAAAUUCUACAUUAAGAUGACAUUUAUCAGCUAAUCUUUUAAAAGAAAUUAACUGGGUAUUUAUGAGGCUUAGACUUAGGGUAUCAUAGAAUCAUUAAGGUUGGAAAAGACCACCAAGACCAGCAAGUCCGACUGUCAACUGAUUCCCCACCAUGCCCACCAACUACAUCCUUCUGUGCCACAAUCUAACUUCUCAGUGGCACCAGGGAGAGCACAACCAAGCUCCUUUUGGAUCCCACUUGUAUCUUGUUCCCUUACUGCAAGGACAGACCCAAGCCCAACCCUGGCAAACAUUUCCUACCAGGGCAGCCACCACUGUGCAGGCUGGGUGAUGAGGCACCAGUGGGUGCAAGGAAACCCUAAAGCCCACAGGGGUCAGGGCUGGCAAUGCCCCACAUCCCUCCAUGCUGCUCAGCCCUUCUGCUGAUGUUCUGCAGGAGAGCAGCAGCUGAUGGUGCUAAAAAUACCCUUGGGCAGGGUAGCAGUGGUUCAGCACUGGGCUUCCCAGAAGAGUGCUGGUAUUUCAGCCUUGUGACUCCAGCUCAGGCCACUUGAUGAACAGCAUGCAACUUUGCUCUGAUUUCCCCAUUUGGUAGGGAACAAUCUCAGUAACGGAUGGAUAAGUCAGCAAACAGCAUAGUUCGCUUUCUUAUUUUAGGUCUCCCAUAGACAUAGAUAUGAAUGACUCUGAAAUAUAGGCAGCACCUGGUCCUUCCCUGCUGUCACAUUGUCCCCUUGAUGGAAAAGCAAAGGAGAUUCCUAUACAAGAUCCCUCUGUAGGUCUGAGGAGGCAGCCGUAAAUGUCCGACCAUAUGCGUGCCAAACAUCCAACCACUCUGCAACCUCACUUUGCCCAUUGCACGUGGGGCAAGAUGGGAGGGAUUCCCCAAAUCUGCAAGCACAUCCCAUAAAAUACCCCGGACACCAGCUGAGAGCACCACCUGUCAGUGGAGUGCUUUGUUCCCAAACCAGGUCCUGCUGGCACAUCCCUCUGACACACUCUACAGAAGAAAAAGUAAAACUAGGAACUUUUUGACUUCUUAUUUUGCAGAAGUGUGACCUUUCGACCUGAAUCACGAUGAGUGGUUAUGAGGAAGAGCUGCUCUCACUUCUAAAUUAUUGCCAUGCAAUGAGCAGGUUUCCAUGGGGUAGCUGAAGGCAUGUCCUGAGGUACAAGGGAUACAAGCAUCCCAUUCUUGCUCUACUUUGCACUAAAGGACUGGUCUUAGAGGAGCUUAUUCUCUAAAAAUGACCUGACUGGCUGAAUAAAACACAAUUUCUGUUUUAAUAUUGUUGUGUUAUGAAACACUGCAAUAGAGGCACAAAUGUGGGCAAGAACAAGUUUUACUGCAGACGCUUUAUCUGCUGAUAGAUUGUCCCAGUGCUGCAUUCCUCAUUCCCUGGGGGUCUGGUCCAGCUCAGAUUGGAAGAUAGUGAAGAUCUUGGGAGAUCUCCAGUAGUGUGGGUCAAAAUUCACUGAUUACAGAAAUGCAAUUGGUUCAGUUGAUCUGCAUAAAGAAAAAAACCACAGCCCAUAGUGGGAAUGUAGAGUAGGAUUGAGAGGAAAAGCUGAGCCCUAAUAGGGAGGCUGGUGCAUGGUGUAUUCAAUAAUUGCAUUUAUGAAUAAACAAUUAAGUAUUACCAAUGAAUCUCUUGCAUUUUAUUGACCCAGGCACAGAAGCUGCUUUUUGGCACUGAUGACUUGCUCAGUUCACGCUUGACAAUGGGGAAUUGUAGUGGCUGUUCCCUUAAGAAAUCAUCCAAGAUUGGGACUUAUUUGUGCGCCAUUGCUUGCAUCAAUUAACAGUACAAUCUUUUUGUUAUGAAAACGCAAACAUUAGUAGCCUGAGGAGCCUUGUAAAUGCAAAUAUAAAACUUUAAUUUCAGUAACCCCCACUUUCCCUUCAAGUACAAUAAAGGCUCUUUUUUUUUUUUUUUUUCAUUUGCUGUUACAACGACGGGUCUUUAUUAUUAUUAUUAUUAUUUUUCCUCUUUCUCUUCACUUUACAUUGAGUUUAACUCAGGGGAUUUCAGUAGGGAUAGUUUUCCAUCAGCAGAUAUGGGGUGGCUGCAGCCGGUGCUGGGAUCUGUGGGCUCCUUGGGGCAGGUCAGUGCCAACCAUAGGGAGGGGAUCAUGGCUGGGCACUGGGGCCAGCCUUGGGCAGGGCAGAAUUCUCACGUGAGGAUUCUUUCCACUCUCUCCAGGCAGCUGGAGAGCCUAAAUUUGGCAUCGUGUUUCUGUUGCGAGAAUGAGAAGGAGAGAGAGACCUUGAAACGUGCCCUUGGCCAUGGCCCCGGUUGGGUGACCAUUGCUGCAGGGAAUGCUUUGGGGUCAAAACUGAUGGUUUUACUGUGAAGUGGUAUGAAAGAGAGAGCUGCCUUCUUGAAAGCAAGGUGGGAGAUGGCACCUGAGUCCGUGAUGAAAGAAUUGGACAAAAACCCAAGGUCUGCUUUCCCCUCUCUUUUUUACACCACGCAUGUACAAGUAAGACAGCCGCUUUGCUUUCUUCCUCCCAUGUUGGCCCAAGUGUGCCUGGGUAUGUUUCUAAACAGAAAACCUGCCCUCAGCAAGGUGCAGUCUGCAGCUCCUCAGGUUCCC
rnacentral:lncRNA from 1 species